rnacentral:rRNA from 1 species
AUUGAACGCUGGCGGCAGGCCUAACACAUGCAAGUCGAGCGGAUGAAGGCAGCUUGCUCCUGGAUUCAGCGGCGGACGGGGGAGUAAUGCCUAGGAAUCUGCCUGGCAGUGGGGGAUGACGUCCGGAAACGGGCGCUAAUACCGCAUACGUCCUGAGGCUGAAAGUGGGGGAUCUUCGGAACUCACGCUCUCUGCUGAGCCUAGGCCGGAUUAGCUAGUUGGUGGGGUAAGGGCUUACCAAGGCGACGAUCCGUAACUGGUCUGAGAGGAUGAUCCGGCACACUGGAACUGAGACACGGUCCAGACUCCUACGGGAGGCAGCAGUGGGGAAUAUUGGGCAAUGGUGGAAAGCCUGGUCCAGCCAUGCCGCGUGUGUGAAGAAGGUCUUCGGAUUGUAAAGCACUUUAAGUUGGGAGGAAGGGCAGUAGUUUAAUACCUUGCUGUUUUGACGGUACCAACAGAAUAAGCACCGGCUAACUUCGUG